UACGUAGGGUGCAAGCGUUGUCCGGAAUUAUUGGGCGUAAAGAGCUCGUAGGCGGUUUGUCGCGUCUGCUGUGAAAACGCGAGGCUCAACCUCGCGCCUGCAGUGGGUACGGGCAGACUAGAGUGCGGUAGGGGAGAUUGGAAUUCCUGGUGUAGCGGUGGAAUGCGCAGAUAUCAGGAGGAACACCGAUGGCGAAGGCAGAUCUCAGGGCCGUAACUGACGCUGAGGAGCGAAAGCGUGGGGAGCGAACAGG
rnacentral:rRNA from 1 species